UCCGUGUGUCCGUCGUCGAGUACGUCUACGAGAGGUUUGAUUACUGGCUCAGGAUUAACGCUGGCGGCAUGCCUAAUACAUGCAAGUCGAAUGGUUAGCUUGCUAACCAUGGCGAACGGGUGAGUAACACGUAGGUAACCUGUCUUCAAGACGAGGAUAACCAUUGGAAACGAUGGAUAAUACUGGAUAGGACAAAUCCCCGCAUGAGGAGAUGUUUAAAGGAGCAAUCCACUUGAUGAGGGGCCUGCGGUGCAUUAGCUAGUUGGUGAGGUAAAGGCCCACCAAGGCGAUGAUGCAUAGCCGGACUGAGAGGUUGAACGGCCACAAUGGAACUGAGAACGGUCCAUACUCCUACGGGAGGCAGCAGUAGGGAAUUUUCGGCAAUGGGCGGAAGCCUGACCGAGCAAUGCCGCGUGAACGAUGAAGUAUUUCGGUAUGUAAAGUUCUUUUAUUUGGGAAGAAAAACAAAUUGACGGUACCAAAUGAAUAAGCUCCGGCUAACUACGUGCCAGCCGCCGC
rnacentral:rRNA from 1 species